GGUGAACGCUGGCGGUAGGCCUAACACAUGCAAGUCGAACGGCCACACAGUAAGAUCUUGCUCUUACGGGUGGCGACUGGCGGACGGGUAAGAAAUACAUCGCAAUCUACUUAUUCGUGGAGGACAACGUAGAAAAACUUACACUAAUACCGCAUACGUCCAACGGGUGGAAUCAGUAGAUCUUCACACCUUGCGCGUCUCAAUUAGCCGAGGUCGGAUUAGCUAGGUGGCUGGGUAAAGGACCACCAAGGCAACGCUCCGUAGCUUGUCUGAGAGGAUGAACAGCCACACUUGAACUGAGACACGGUCCAGACUCCUACGGGAGGCAGCAGUGAGGAAUUUUGGACAAUGGGCGCAAACCUGAUCCAGGCAUACCGGGUGGGGUAAGAAGGCUUUCGGGUUCUAAAGCCCUUUUGUUGGGAAAGAAAAGAAGCUGGUAAAAACCACGCUGGUCUGGAGGUAACCAAAGAAUAAGGACCGGCUAAAUUAGUG
rnacentral:rRNA from 1 species